AUGCCGUCCCACCCAACGGACACUGCGGUAAGCCGUCCAUGCACUGUCGGCAUGCAUGGGCUGUGCUGCCACGCCGGUGCGCCCGCGUGCCACCGGUUUUUAACAUGCCCACGCAUGUGGCUUGGGGGCACGAGUAGGUGCAUUGAGUUCUGUUCAGGGGCGCCCCCUCUGCUCUGGUCCGUUCUAUUAUAUCAAACACAUCACUCUCACGGUCUCGCCGCCCACCUGCCCAAAACUCCCAUUUCCCCCACCGCCCCCAUCGCUGCUAGCUCCGCUGGUGAUCCUCAAUCGUCAGCUGGACAUCUUCUUCCAGCUGAGCAGGCUCUUCGCUGCCCUGAAAAGAUGGGGAACGCAGCUGGUCGUCCUGUGCCCGGAGCGACAGUGAAGGCGGAGGACGGCAUGGUUCGUCUUCGAGUUGGACGCCUGCACUCUGAAUCCUCCUACAGCACCUUUCGCUUCAGGGUGAAGGAUGACGAGCUGCCCUGGAUGAGGAUUCCGGGCGGAUGGGAAGAGCAGAUGAAGGGGCCGUGCCCCAGGAGAAUCAAGCUCUGGACUUGGGAGGGCGUGUGGUCAGUCCGGAUGGAUAAGCGGGAUGGGCAUGAUGCAAAGUACCUGAUGGACGGGUGGGACGACUUCGUCGACGCUCAUGGCGUGGAAGCAGACGACCUGCUAACCUUCCAGAUCGUGGAGCCUGACGGCUGGUAUGUUCGAAUCUACGCUCCCUGUGGCAAGGAGAGGCCGAUUGGACGACUGCUGCUCUAG
rnacentral:rRNA from 1 species